GACGAACGCUGGCGGCGUGCUUAACACAUGCAAGUCGAGCGAUGAAGCUCCUUCGGGAGUGGAUUAGCGGCGGACGGGUGAGUAACACGUGGGUAACCUGCCUCAUAGAGGGGAAUAGCCUUUCGAAAGGAGGAUUAAUACCGCAUAAGAUUGUAGUGCCGCAUGGUACAGCAAUUAAAGGAGUAAUCCGCUAUGAGAUGGACCCGCGUCGCAUUAGCUAGUUGGUGAGGUAACGGCUCACCAAGGCGACGAUGCGUAGCCGACCUGAGAGGGUGAUCGGCCACAUUGGGACUGAGACACGGCCCAGACUCCUACGGGAGGCAGCAGUGGGGAAUAUUGCACAAUGGGGGAAACCCUGAUGCAGCAACGCCGCGUGAGUGAUGACGGUCUUCGGAUUGUAAAGCUCUGUCUUCAGGGACGAUAAUGACGGUACCUGAGGAGGAAGCCACGGCUAACUACGUGCCAGCAGCCGCCGCCG
rnacentral:rRNA from 1 species